AGUUGUAAUUUGCAGAGGGCGCUUUGGCAUUGGCAGCGGUCCAAGUUCCUUGGAACAGGACGUCACAGAGGGUGAGAAUCCCGUACGUGGUCGCUAGCCUUUACCGUGUAAAGCCCCUUCGACGAGUCGAGUUGUUUGGGAAUGCAGCUCUAAAUGGGAGGUAAAUUUCUUCUAAAGCUAAAUACUGGCCAGAGACCGAUAGCGCACAAGUAGAGUGAUCGAAAGAUGAAAAGCACUUUGGAAAGAGAGUUAAAAAGCACGUGAAAUUGUUGAAAGGGAAGCGCUUGCAGCCAGACUUGCCUGUAGUUGCUCAUCCGGGUUUUUACCCGGUGCACUCUUCUAUAGGCAGGCCAGCAUCAGUUUGGGCGGUUGGAUAAAGGUCUCUGUCAUGUACCUCUCUUCGGGGAGAACUUAUAGGGGAGACGACAUGCAACCAGCCUGGACUGAGGUCCGCGCAUCUGCUAGGAUGCUGGCGUAAUGGCUGUAAGCGGCCCGUCUUGAAACACGGACCAAGGAGUCUAACAUCUAUGCGAGUGUUUGGGUGUCAAGCCCGAGCGCGUAAUGAAAGUGAACGGAGGUGGGAACCUUUCGGGGUGCACCAUCGACCGAUCCUGAUGUCUUCGGAUGGAUUUGAGUAAGAGCAUAGCUGUUGGGACCCGAAAGAUGGUGAACUAUGCUUGAAUAGGGUGAAGCCAGAGGAAACUCUGGUGGAGGCUCGCAGCGGUUCUGACGUGCAAAUCGAUCGUCAAAUUUGGGCAU
rnacentral:rRNA from 1 species